rnacentral:rRNA from 1 species
GACGAACGCUGGCGGCGUGCUUAACACAUGCAAGUCGAACGGAAAGGCCCUGCUUUUGUGGGGUGCUCUAGUGGCGAACGGGGGAGUAACACCUGAGUAACCUGCCCUUGACUUUGGGAUAACUUCAGGAAACUGGGGCUAAUACCGGGUAGGAGCUCCUGCUGCAUGGUGGGGGUUGGAAAGUUUCGGCGGUUGGGGAUGGACUCGCGGCUUAUCAGCUUGUUGGUUGGGUAGUGGCUUACCAAGUGUUUGACGGGUAGCCGGCAUGAGAGGGUGACCGGCGACAAUGGGACUGCGAUACGGCGCAGACUCCUACGGGAGGCAGCAGUGGGGAAUAUUGCACAGUGGGCGGAAGCGUGAUGCAGCAACGCUGCGUGCGGGAUGACGGCCUUCGGGUGGUAAACAGCUUUCGCAUGUGACGAAGCGUGAGUGACGGUAAUGGGUAAAGAAGCACCGGCUAACUACGUG